GUAUAUAUUGUACUAAUACAAAAGCAUGUAUAUGUUUGUGAGUGGAGAGAGGGAGGGCAUCAUCUUUUCUGCCAAGCUAUUGCAUAACUCAGCUCUCGGAGCUUCUUCUCUACAGUUUACAUCCUCAAUUGGAUAUUCCAGCACUACAUUUGCCUUCUCUAUAUUAGCCUUGAAUUCAUUAACUGCAAUAUCAUACUUCUCUUUCCAUUCAUUGGCCUUUUUCCAUGAGCAUCAGUAAGUCUCGCUUCUUCUUCAUGAGUCCCUGACACAGUUUCCACCUUAACCUGGUCUUUAACUGCCUUAUUCUUAUUCCAUGUCUUUUCAUAUUUUCUCCUCCAUUCCAAGGAUUCCUGCUUUGCAGAAUCCAGCAUUUCAAGUGAACAAGAAUGCCUCUCAUCCAAUGAGCUGCAUAUCCUUGCCAGAUCAGUUAUACAGCUCUUGUAACAUUCAGAGACCUUAUUUAAGUAAUUUAUAGCAUCUUCAUAAAGCUUUUGAUAUUCUGUUUUGAAUUUCUCACUAGCUUCCAACUGCUUAUGUAGCAUUUGCAUCUUAUCUUCCACUGAGGAGCAUUUCAAGUUAAGUAGAUUUUUUUUCUGAUGAAGCCUCGCCAAUCAGCUUCUUAGCAUAAUGGAGAAUAGGACCCUGCAAACUGAAUAACAACUCCAGAAAUAAGCCAAGACACAUGAAAAUGUUCUGCAGGUGGUUUCGUAGUUUAGAAAAAAGAAUGGAAGGCGAAUUAAAACCUGAACUGAAAGAGAAGGUUUCCAAUAUUUUUCAAGAUUUCUUGACUAGGAUCACAAAACUUGAGGAACUUGCAGGUAUUGGAAGCAGAUUACUCAAUGGCUAUCAGCAAGCGCUUGAAUUUCUUCGACGACCUCCAAUAGACGAGACUUCUCAGCUAAUAAAGAAUAUUAUCAAAGCAAAUGAAACAAAAAGGGUUAAAUCUUAUAUUGAAGCUGGUUGUAUUAAUGUUCAUGAUAGCAUACAAAAUACAAACAAGUUGCAUACAUGCCUACUCGGACUUCAUAACCAUUUAAGCAAAGCCAAGAGCUUACUAAAUGAACUUGAACAUCUCUUGGAGGAUUUAUCUGGUGCAAUUCAAACUGCCAAUGGAUGUUUACCACCUUUGAAGAAUGAAGAUUGCGGGGACCAAUUGUAUCAACAAAUAACUACUGACCAGUCAUCAUUCGAACUCGGAGAACUUGAAAUGACAAAUUAUGCUGUGUUGAUGGGGAUCAUUUACAGUAUGGUAAAGCAAGACUAUGUAAUGCAGGAGAGGAUUGUCAAUUCAUUAAAUCUCAAAUCAUUGUCUGGAGAACUAGAGAGCUAUUGUGUAAUGUGGUCCUUGCGUCCUUUUAUCAUGGAUGAAGUUAUGCAUCAUGCCUGGAGACUGAUUCCUUAGCCACUGAAAGUGUUUUCAGUGUCAAUCGCAGCUUAACAGCACGGUGCACUGUUGUACAUUUCUCGUGGAGCUUCAAUCCCACCAUCUAGACCUUGCAAAUGGAGGACGUGUCAAGUAAAUAGUGAGCAAGAUAUGACCUACACAAGAAGGGGAUCCCAUUAUCUGCACCUUCAAUGGGGGCUCCAGAAAAACGUUUAUUUUGAGGAGCCAACCAAGCUUGCGACUGUUGGUGACUGCUUAAGCUUGAAAUCCACCUGGGUGUCAUUCAUCUCACCAGUGAUGCCUCUGGCCUCACAACCCACAGGAAUGGCUAGCUGGAUAAUUCAUGACCUGCUAGAGUUGACUCUUGGAAUUUGUAUUCGGUCAAAAACAUUAAAUUUGCCAAAUGCAAUAGAAAUGACUUGGGGUGUUGUUGAUCUAUAGCCAUUUGAAGCAUGUUUUGUACUCUACUCAGAAGUAUUCUAGUGGAUCUGGAGCAUUCCAUGCAACAUUUAAGCGAAGAAAUCUGUCCGAGAAGUGUGCAAUCUGGCAUGAAAUGGAGGCUGGGAAGUGGUUACAGAGAGCAACACUCUAAAAAUUGAUGUACCACAACAGGAAUUAUGUGUAGAUAUAUACACUCCACAACCCUACACUAGUAAGGCAAAAUGCAAUUCAUAUUGGCGAUUUGUGACUUCAACGUUCUUCUUAUGGAUGUAAUUUGAUUUGGUCUCACUUUCUUUC